rnacentral:snRNA from 1 species
GUGCUCGCUUCUGCAGCACAUAUACUAAAAUUGGAACGAUACAGAGAAGAUUAACAUGGCCCCUGCACAAGGAUGACACACAAAUUCAUGAAGCGUUCCAUAUUUUU